rnacentral:lncRNA from 1 species
CUUUUUUCUACAUGCCACACUGUACUCUGAAAGGAAUUUACGAUGUGUAGCCCACAAUUAAGAAGUGUUGUUAUUUUGUUUACAUAAUUUAUUCAAAUUUUUCUAAUUUUUUUGGCAAUAUAAUUGACAAAUGUAUUCAAUCAGUAUGUACUCAUUAACAUCUGUUUUAUACCGUGGGUUAUAAUUCAAUACUAUACUGUUUCUUUUGUGCUCGAACUUUUCCAGUUUUGGCCACUGAGGAUUUUUUCACUUGCCUCCUGUGUCCAUUUGUGUGUUUUUUUCUGUUGUUUCACUUGGCUUUGUUUUGUUUUAUGAGCACUUUCUUGCUUUCAUGUAUUAAAAGAUGCUUCAGGCUCAUCUUGUAUAUUUCCUGCCCCAGUCCUGGAAUCAGCCAUUUUUUCAAGGAGCUCUUGUUCCUUUUAUUAGGAACCAAGAUAUGGGUGCUAAGUAUGUUUGCUGCUCUUGGGGUGUGACUCUUCCUUGCCCUUUCAGCUGUCAGGGCAAGGAAAUUAUAUGUAUAUAUUUUUUAUAUGUAACCAAAAUAAAGUGCCCUUGAGUUCAUACUGAUAACUUCUAUUCUGAUGUUUUACCAUAUGGACUAUUCUUGCCACUGCCCCUUGCUUGUCUGUAUAUUCUGACUUCUGCAGUGAGUAGCUUGGCUUUCACUGUUAGUAACUCAAUCCCCUCCCUCUCUUUCUCCCUGACCUCCAGCCUUACUCUCUCUUUUUCUCUUAACAGCUUUGGUGAACUAUUUAACACAGAGAUGGAAUUCAAUACACUGGAUAUGAUGUUCCAGAAAGUUGACUCUGAUCUGGAUUACAUUUUACACAGGCUGGAAUAUGAAAUCAAGACAAAGCACCCAGAUUCAGCAGGUGUUUUAUUCCAAGCCGACCUUACCUAAGGUGGACGAACAGUCACAUCUCCCUGCACAAACUUUGCCCACCAUCCGCUGGUUCCAUGUCCUUAUUACUAAAAUUAUCAGCAUUAUUAUUUCACCAUGUCUCAGAUGGAAAGGAAAGACUGUGACCAAAACUAGAAAAGACACUUUUGGCAUCAAAGGUUGGUAGGGUCACCAUCACAGCAAUCUGGAUAUAGGUCUCUUCUUAACACCCGCAAAAGUUAUUUCUUGACAAGAUUUCUA